GAUGAACGCUGGCGGCGUGCCUAAUACAUGCAAGUCGAGCGAACGGACGAGAAGCUUGCUUCUCUGAUGUUAGCGGCGGACGGGUGAGUAACACGUGGAUAACCUACCUAUAAGACUGGGAUAACUUCGGGAAACCGGAGCUAAUACCGGAUGAUAUUUUGAACCGCAUGGUUCAAAAGUGAAAGACGGUCUUGCUGUCACUUAUAGAUGGAUCCGCGCUGCAUUAGCUAGUUGGUAAGGUAACGGCUUACCAAGGCAACGAUGCAUAGCCGACCUGAGAGGGUGAUCGGCCACACGGGAACUGAGACACGGUCCAGACUCCUACGGGAGGCAGCAGUAGGGAAUCUUCCGCAAUGGGCGAAAGCCUGACGGAGCAACGCCGCGUGAGUGAUGAAGGUCUUCGGAUCGUAAAACUCUGUUAUUAGGGAAGAACAUAUGUGUAAGUAACUGUGCACAUCUUGACGGUACCUAAUCAGAAAGCCACGGCUAACUACGU
rnacentral:rRNA from 1 species